GAUUUCUGGCUUGGUGCGCGCCGUCCGCUGCGGUUACGUAGUGUGUGCGGUUGUGCGCCUGCCAUCUUUCUAGACAUCAUGCUGCGCCCUUCACUGGGUGGCAGGUGGUGGCUGGAUCUUUUACUUUGAAAAAAUUAGAGUGUUCAAAGCAGGCUUGCGCCUUGAAUACAUUAGCAUGGAAUAAUAAUUUAGGACUUCUGUUCUAUUUUGUUGGUUUCUAGGAUGGAAGUAAUGAUUGAUAGGGAUAGUUGGGGGUGCUAGUAUUCAGCGGCCAGAGGUGAAAUUCUCGGAUUCGCUGAAGACUAACUUAUGCGAAAGCAUU
rnacentral:rRNA from 2 species